rnacentral:lncRNA from 1 species
UUAUUCUUUGAUUUCUUGAGUUCAAUAUGUGAUUAUCUACAGCUCUCAUUUUGAAUCUGCUUAAUUGUUAUAUCUGCUUAAAUUUCCUUAUAUAAUCUGUGAUGUUUGCACUUGAACUGUGAACUUGCUGAGCAUUCAAAUGCUCAUACUUUCAACUCUUUAUUUCCUUUAAACAGUCAAAACAGAAAAUGGCACAAAUGAGAAGGAUAAUCCGGAAGCAUAUAACAGCAAAGUCAAGGGCAAAACGUGGGGCUGUGGCAAACGAAGGGUCCGAAGACUUGUUCCUGUAACGAGGAUGUUUGUGAUAAUAGUAAUACUAGUUUGUACUCUUGAACUUAUCAUUGUAAUGAGAUGGACUGUGUGGAAGUGUAAGAUCGACCCUGGACUUGUGGGGCGAGUUAUGUAAGGUAAGACAGGUAUGCU